rnacentral:lncRNA from 1 species
GGUGGCGGCAGGUGUGUCGGGCCAUAAUAAUGGCGGCCACUUGAGUGUCACGUGACAGAGCCGCUAGGGUGUGGAGGGUCCAGGAAGGCGGUCACAGACGCUGCCUCAGCUAGCUGCCUUCUCAGGUCACAGAGCCGUGCAGAUCCAGGUCCUGGGUGACCACUCUGUCCCGAAUGAGCAAGAGACGUACCUAGUCCUGACGACAAGGGACAACGGCCUUAACGGGCCUGGAAGGUGAGCAGAGUCCCUACAACGAGUGGAACGGUUAGCGGCACUUGCUCUAUGUUCUAUCGACCUUGCUGUCGGAAGAGAGAAAUGGCAGAAUGACAUCCCCCAUUUGGCCCGCUGGAAAUGCCCACCAUCUUUUGGGAAGAUUUACUGGCUGUUUAUAGAAUGCCUGCCUAUAUAAUAUGAAAAAGCUGCUCUCAACUUCUCCCCCAAAACCUUUUAAAAGAAAACAUUUGCCACAUCCAGCCCUUCUAGAGUAAAGAGGUUGCCAACGUAUGAAGUAGAGUUAGAAAAUCACACACCUUGCAAAUUCUCAUUAGUUUAAAAAGAAGUCAUAGAAAAUGUCUUCUGGAGUUGACUUUUUGAAAUGGAGUUAUUAGACCACUUCUGGAAGCAACACGUCCACGUUUGUUCAAUGGGCUAGAGGACAUGGAGCAGAAGACCUGAGAAGGAAAAGAAGUUAGAAGACUACAUGUUGAAAGUUUGCUUUGAGCUUGGUUCUUCUUGAACAUGCAGCUUCAAAUCAAUGUCUGUCUGCUCAUAAGUUCAACCAAACCAGGACUGCCACUGGCUGCUAAAGGGAAGAAAAGGCUCCAUGAAGAAUUCCAGCGUACCUCCUGCCCUGGCAGCCAUUCUGCUGUUUCUAUGGAAACAUUCACCAGAUAGCAGCAUGCUAUACUGUGCAAGUGAAGAAGAAGGCAUCUUCCUUUCAUCACCACAUCUAGAGUGUGACCACUUCACAGAAUGAAAGAAUGUGGUGAACACAGUUCUUUAUUCUGACAGAUAAAUCGUUCAAGAGAAAGGGGCCAGAUGCCAGUGACAUUUUCUUGGACUUCCCAGCCUUUAGAACCAUGAUCCAAAUAAACUUGUAUUGUUUAUAAAUUA